rnacentral:lncRNA from 1 species
GAGAACAAUGAGCAAUCCGUAUAGGAAAGGUGGGGAAGGCACGCUGGACCCCCUGGAAGUUUGGGAAAUGUUGCUGUAUCAAUGUGCAGCUGGAGAAGCCAAAGCCUCUGAAGCAGAGCAGGCGCACUCAGAACUGGACAAGCUGGAGCAAGAGCUUCAAGCUGAGAUGGUUGAAGUUGCUCUGGAAUCACUGCAAGAGGAUCUGCAGCUCUGA